GAUGAACGCUAGCGGCAGGCUUAAUACAUGCAAGUCGAGGGGCAGCGCAGUGUAGCAAUACAUGGGCGGCGACCGGCAAACGGGUGCGGAACACGUACGCAACCUUCCUUCAAAUGGGGGAUAGCCCACCGAAAGGUGGAUUAAUACCCCCGUAAAAUUUUUAGGGUGGCAUCACCUGAUUAUUAUAGCUCCGGCGUUUGAAGAUGGGCGUGCGCCUGAUUAGGUAGUUGGCGGAGUAACAGCCCACCAAGCCUACGAUCAGUAACUGGUGUGAGAGCACGACCAGUCACACGGGCACUGAGACACGGGCCCGACUCCUACGGGAGGCUGCAGUAAGGAAUAUUGGUCAAUGGACGCAAGUCUGAACCAGCCAUGCCGCGUGGAGGAUGAAGGUCCUCUGGAUUGUAAACUUCUUUUUAUCGGAGAAGAAACCCAGACAUUCCUGUUUGGUUGACGGUACCCGAUGAAUAAGCACCGGCUAACUCCGUGCCAGCAGCCGCGGUAAUACGGAGGGUGCAAGCGUUAUCCGGAUUCACU
rnacentral:rRNA from 1 species